ACUCCUACGGGAGGCAGCAGUGGGGAAUAUUGCACAAUGGGGGAAACCCUGAUGCAGCCAUGCCGCGUGUGUGAAGAAGGCCUUCGGGUUGUAAAGCACUUUCAGUAGGGAGGAAGGUAGUGUAGUUAACACCUGCAUUAUUUGACGUUACCUACAGAAGAAGCACCGGCUAACUCCGUGCCAGCAGCCGCGGUAAUACGGAGGGUGCGAGCGUUAAUCGGAAUUACUGGGCGUAAAGCGCAUGCAGGCGGCCUGUUAAGUCAGAUGUGAAAGCCCGGGGCUUAACCUCGGAAUUGCAUUUGAAACUGGCAGGCUAGAGUCUUGUAGAGGGGGGUAGAAUUUCAGGUGUAGCGGUGAAAUGCGUAGAGAUCUGAAGGAUACCAGUGGCGAAGGCGGCCCCCUGGACAAAGACUGACGCUCAGAUAG
rnacentral:rRNA from 1 species